rnacentral:rRNA from 1 species
UACGGGGGGGGCAAGCGUUGUUCGGAAUUACUGGGCGUAAAGGGCGCGUAGGCGGCCAUCUAAGUCGGACGUGAAAUCCCUCGGCUUAACCGAGGAACUGCGUCCGAUACUGGAAGGCUUGAAUCCGGGAGAGGGAUGUGGAAUUCCAGGUGUAGCGGUGAAAUGCGUAGAUAUCUGGAGGAACACCGGUGGCGAAGGCGGCAUCCUGGACCGGCAUUGACGCUGAAGCGCGAAAGCCAGGGGAGCAAACGGG